AACGAACGCUGGCGGCAUGCCUAACACAUGCAAGUCGAACGAGACCUCCGUGUCUAGUUGCGCACACGUGCGUAACGCGUCGGAACCUUGCGUUAUGUUUGGAAUAACUCUCCUUAAGGGGUGCUAAUACCGGAUAAUGUCCGCUGACCAAAGAUUUAUCGCCUUUGGAUGGGCCCGCGUUGGUUUACCUGGUUGGUAGGGUAAAAGCCUACCAAGGCGACGAUCGAUAGCUGGGCUGAGAGACUGGUCAGCCACACUGGGAGUAAGACACGGCCGAGAAUACUAGGGGAGGGAGGCAUGGCUAAUCUAGGAAAAUCGGCGAAAGCAUGAAGCAGCACUGGCGCGUGAGUCAUGUAGGUCUGAGAGUAGUACAGCUCUUUUACCCGCGAUGAUUCUGACAGUACCCGGAGAAUAAGCUCCGGCUAACUUCGUG
rnacentral:rRNA from 1 species